AUGUUUUAUAAUUAUAUUGUGAAAGUUUGUACAUAUUUUGUGUUCCAGCCCUAAGGUUGUGAUUGAUUUUGUUUUUAAUUAAAAUCUAAAAUUAGUGUGUUGUACAUUGAUUUCUGUUAAACAAGAGUGUAAGUUAUCAGAAAGGAAAGUCCUCAUAUUGUUGGAGUUUGUUGUGUUAAAGGGAAAGUCCUCAUAUUGUUUGAGAUUGUUGUAUAUAAUAUUAUGUAAAACAAGUGUGUAAGUCAUCCAAAAUGAAAGUCCUCAUAUUGUUGGAGUUUGAUGUAUGUUGAAUUAUGAAAAAACUAAUGUGAACGUUAUCAAAAGUUAAAGUCCUCAUAUUGCUUGAGAUUGUUGUGUGUUGAAUAAUGUUAAAAAAGCGUGUAAGUAAUCAAAAGGGACAGUGCUCAUAUUGAUUGAGUUUGUUGUAUGUUGAAUUAUGAAAAAACAUGUUAAGUUAUCAAAUGGUAAAGUCCUCAUAUUGUUGGAGUUUGUUGUGUAUUGACUAAUGUAAAACAAAAUGUGUAAGAAAUCAAAAGGGACAGUCCUCACAGUUCAUGAUUGUUGGUGAGUUCUAGUAUGUAAAACAAUUGUGAAACAAAAGUCCUCCUAUACUAUAGUGUUUUUUUUAAUUAUAUUAAAAGUAUCCUGAAAGUGAUAUUCCUUAAUUUGUUUAAUUGUCAGAGUAUUUGUGACUUGAAUAAUAUGAUAAAUAUUUUCUAUGUCAUUGGAAAAAAUCCUCAAUGUAGGAGUUGGUUGAAAGCAAUAAAUGUUUGAAAUCAAACCAAGGUAAUGAUUACCAUUUGUAAAUAAAUAAAUUUAAAAAUACUCUGAGCCUGCAGAUAAGCUUUUUCCAACUCAUUUGAAAAUGCACUAUAAAACAAAAAUUUAGGCAUGAAAAAUGGAUUUAAAAUAUUGAUAAUGCUAAGAAGCAAAGUUCACAUUUAACCAGUCUUCACGCUAACUAUAAGCCUGACAGCCCGGGACUGGGUAAAUGUUAAUCGGGCUACUAGAAAUUAAUAAUUUAUAUAGUUGGGCUAUUGGAUUUUUUGUCUGUUUCUAAUAAAGCAUCAUAUGCCGGGCUAGUGGUUGAAAUAUAUUACCGUGAAGACUGCAUUUAACAUAUAUUAUCUCAUUUAACAUGACAAUUUUGGACAAAUACCCUGAUAUAGAGAAAUUUGCAUGUUUUAACUCUGAAAACAGCUACCUAUUUAAUUUACCUUUUGCUGUUUUACAGAGCGUCCAAAGGUUCACCUGACCACCACAACUCUUUUCGGAGUGUCUGAAGUUCGUGUACGUGCUAGGAAGCCACUUACAAUGAAACUGGGCAUUACCGGUUCUCCAACUCCCAUUGUCAUCUGGGCUAAAGAAGGAAAACCCAUUCCAAGGGCUCGCACCUCAUUACUAUACUACACUAGAGCUCCCAAAAGCAGAUCAUGGUGACACUGGAAACUACCUUGUGACUGUUGAAAACGAACAUGGCAGAGAUUCUGCAGAUAUUCCGGUCUUAGUUAUUGACAAGCCUGGACCCCCGGACGGUCCUUUGGAGGUCAGUGAUGCGUUUGCGGACUCCUGCCAAUUGGCUUGGAAACCACCUCAGGACAAAGGAAACUAACCAAUAAUCGUUACACAGUAGAAAAAUUCCAGGAGGGCUUGUACUUCUGGGAAAAGGUGCCUGGCAUGCCGAUGUGCAAGUCCAUAAUAGUCACUGGACUGAAGACUGGAGUCAAGUUCAAGUUCAGGGUCAUGGCUGAGAACAUAUACGGAAUAGGAGAGCCCUUAGAGACAGAUUUCCCAGUGUUAGUCAAGAAUAGAUUUGAGUCCCCAAAGGUUCACCUGACCAACACAUCUCUUUCUUGAGCGUCUGAAGUUUGUGUAUGUGCUGGGGAGCCACUUACGAUGAAACUGGGCAUUACCGGUUCUCCUACUCCCACUGUCAUCUGGACCAAAAAAGGAAAACCCAUCCCAAGGGCUCGCACCUCCAACACUAUUGACUGUACUACACUAGAGCUCCUAAAAGCACAUCAUGGGGACACUGGAAACUACCUUGUGAUUGUUGAAAACGAUCAUGGCAGAGAUUUUGCAGAUAUUCCGUUCAUCAUUAUUGACAAGUGUGGACCCCCCGAAGGUCCUCUGGAGGUCAGUGAUGUGUUUGCGGACUCCUGCUGAUUGGCAUGGAAACCACCUCAGGAAAAAAGAAACUUACCAAUUAUCGGUUACACAGUAGAGAAAUGCCAGGAGGGCUCAGACUUCUGGGAAAAGGUGCCUGGCAUACCGAUGUGCAAGUCCAGAAUAGUCACUGGACUGAAGACUGGAGUCAAGUUCAAGUUCAGGGUCAUGGCUGAGAACAUAUACGGAAUAGCAGAGCCCUUAGAGACAGACUGCCCAGUGUUAGUCAAGAAUCGAUUUGAGCCGCCUGCCAAGAAGACAGUAAUUUGGAAGAAGAUUCUGAAGAAGAUACACCAGUUGUUGAUACAGUUGCUCUGUCCACAGCUACAACCAACAAGUCCAAACCCACAACCAGCCAGUCCAAAGCCACAACCAGCCAGUCCAAAGUUUCAACCAAAGCAACAACCAGCUUUGUCGGAAAGAAAGCGCAGAAAAGAAAAAUGUGGUCUGUUGAAGAACAAGCUGCUGUUGAGCAACAACUGGGAAAAUAUCUUCACACUUCAAAGCUGCCAGAUAAACACGAGAUUGAGGAGAGCCGAAAAAAAGAACCUGUAUUGUUGAACAGACCUUGGCAACAAGUGAAAAGCUACAUUAAAAUAUGUAAAGUUUCAAUGCAGAGAAGAUUAAACAGUGCAAACUAAACAAGCUGUGUGUUUUGUGUCAAGCCAGCAGGGGUGAACUACUGGUUUAUUUCCUUGAAAAGCAUGCCUUAGUUACAAGGCUUAUUGUGUAUAAACAUUCAUCACUAUUUAUCUUUUGUUCGUAUUUUACAUUAACAUUCGACCUUGUACUCAUGUCCUUCGGAUUUUUUGUUGCGCAUAAUCAAAAAGGAUAAAUGCUAGGAAUGAAACUUUACAAACAUUAAUAUCCCAGCAUGAGAACUUAUUCCCCUGUGUAUUUUGGUCCUUUUUUCUACAUUAUUGGAGUUAUGACACAACUGGAAUAUAGGGGAAUCAGUGUCCUUAGGACACGUGUUGAAUUGUUCUUUUUUAUCUUCAUUUUAUAUGCGUGAUGUGCUCACAUAAAGUUUUGUUUUAUUUUUGGGACUGCUUUUCAUGUGAGUCCAAUUUCUGUAUUAUCUACAUGUAGUGCUCCAUCAAGGCCUUAAUGGAAGGUUGCCCCGCCCUAACUUUCCAAUGAUUUGUAACUUGAUUUGUAACAUUAUUGACAGUGUGUUAUGGCGCAUAUGUAGUAGCAGCUGUUUUUCUUAGUAUAAAUUACUUUUUUGGAUUUGUGUUGCAUAUUACUCAAAAGGAUUUACUGCUAGAGUAGUAUACAUAUAAAUGUAUUGAUCAGCAUCUGCACUUUUAUUAUACGCUUUUGUAACAACAGGCAUGUUCUUUGUUAAAUUUAUUUUGCAAAAGUACAACAAACCUUUAACCCACAAUGGUAUCUUUAAGCAGCUUUUAGCUCCAUAUUUUGAAGAAAUGGCUUUUCUUCUUGCCCCAUCUUCAGCCUUUGAACUACAUGUAGCUUAAAGUUAAAACUUUUUCUGUAAGCUAGUUUCAUGUGAUUUCAAUGUCUGUAUUAUCUACAUGCAGUGCUCCAGCUAGGCCUUAAUGGAAGGGUGUCCCGCCCUGCCCUUCCGAAGUCCCGCCCUGCCCUUCUGAGGCCCCGCCCUGCCCUUCUGAGGCCCCGCCCUGCCCUUUUAUUAAAAAAAUGAGUUAAUAGCUUUUUUUUAUCUCCUAAAGAUGUUUCAUUAAUAAACCCAUAUGUUUUGUGCUGGGUUACUUGUUUGAAUAAUUAUAUUUCGUCAAUAUAAUGAUAAAUUGAUGACUGUAAUUGGUUUAUGUGUGGACUAUUUCUUAAUAUUUGAUGUGUUUAAUUUCACUAACUGUUACAAUUUAUAAGUUUCAAGAGAUAUAUAUGUUGGAGUGUGUUAUUGUAUGAGUGUUGGUAUUUUUCGCCUCAUUACGUGUGGACAUGAAUGUCAAUAGAUUAGAAUUAGAAGAUGAUAAUGUUGUACAUGAUCUCAUGACCAUACUUUCAUUUUGUUUUGACUUAUUAAUAUAAUGCAACAUACAUGUCGUCUACUGUUAUUACAUAAAUAUAGUACAACAUACAUGUCAUCUACUGAAUGUAAUAAUUUGUUUGACAGACAUUUUGUUGAUUUUUCAAGACAGCAUAUUUUCCAAAAUACAUAAAGAUCACUUACGUAACUUUUUGCAUUCAAAAUAUUUCAGUGUUACAAUUAUGGUAACUGCUUCUUUCUUAUUGUUUUAAAAAAGACAUCUCAAUUGAGAGUUGUGUUUUGUUUUACAAAUUUUAUUUUAAUACUAAUAAGAAAAUUGGAAUACCGAAAAAUAUUUAUUAUUUUAAUAAAACAGAUUUUUGCUUCUCCUGAAAAAAAAUGUCAGUAACACUACUUAUUGCACUCAGAAAACAACAUGUGUUUACUCAUGUCAUUUUGCAAAAUUUGGUAAAAGCAUUAUUUAUACCAGAAAGGUUGUCCUAAUAAUUUAACAGUUGAUGUACGUCAUUUAAAUAAACACACAAAAGCUGAUAAGUCAUAUAACUGACAUUUUUAGCUUUAUAACAUUUAGUAGUACCUGAGUA